ensembl:lincRNA
GCACUGUAUAGAAAUCCCGGGAGGGGAGGAAUCUGAAAGUUAAGAGCCAUUAAAAGGAAGGGGGGUGGGGUGGGGUGGGGGAAGCCCCAGGCACUUGAUGCCUGUAAAUGAUGUAAGACGCAGCCACUCCUCUAUUAGACCUGCAACCAAACUAGACUCAGAUCCGUCGCAGCUGCUCUCCAAAUGUCAGCAUCAGUGCUGGGCAAAGCUUGAAACCCACCAGGCUUCAGGAGAGCCGUUCUCACCCACAUUUUUCCCCCGAGCACUCUUAGGAACCUGGCAACAGGUAACGUGGCAACCUUUGACUUCUAAAAGGCGAGUGGGAUAAUUUCAGGGAACAAACGGAUUGUUUUCGAGCCAGCUGCAUCUCUCCUAACUGCCCCCGCACCCAACCUCCUCCCUCCCAAUACAAAGUCUGGGAAAACAAACUUAAGUGCUGCAGGCUGUCCUGCUCUCCCGCGCUCCCUGGUGGCCAACAUCGGAACAACACGACGCACGUGUUGUGCUCGGAACUCCGAGGCAGUUCCUGCUGGCUGGCCUAGAACUCACUGUGUACUCGAAGCUGACCUUGAACUCCUCAGACUUACUUUCCCAGUGUUGGGAUCACAGAUGUGCCACCAUGGCGGCCCCUCCUUCGUUGUUUUGUUUUUAUAUUGGACUUGAGGACCACCUUGAACUUCUGAUCUCCCUGCCUUCACUUCCUAAGGGCUGGGGUUACAGGUAUGGACCACUAAGCCUUUUUUUAUGAAGUACUUGGACUUAAAUCAUUACUUUUUGCAUGCUGGUCAAGUACUCCACAGACUUAGCUGCAUCUUCAGCCUGGUUUGAAAAAUCUCUGAUUUUAGGUUACACUAACGGUUUGGGUUUUAUCAUGGCAUCUUUCCCAGAACCCUUCUCAUUUCAACAGAACUAGCUUGUGGAGUCCUGAGUGUUAGGACAAACCCCAAAUAGGGACCACAAACGGGUUUAGUAAGCAGAUCUCAGCUGCCAUUCACUCUUCCUCGGGCUUAGCGCUCUCCGGGAUGGGAGGAGAGUAUCAAGUGCAUGGCAUCCCUCUGUGUUGAUCAGGAAGUGAGAGGGGCCUGUUCGCAAGUCACAUCUACGGGAGCCCGGAUCUGCUAAAGUCCUGACUGCCUCAGGUGAUGCCUCACACUGUCCCUGUGCCUGGCACUGAGAGCAGCCUGGAGAAUGUGGUCGGAAAUCUUGUGCCUUGGAAACUGCGAUUUGUGGAGAAGCCAGAAAGGAAACCUUUCUUUCUUUCCGGUACCAGUGUGGCUGUCACCACCUGCUGGAAGACAUCUGCACUGUCCUUCCAAAUGGCUCGCCUCUGUGAAGCAGGGGCUCUACCCUUCUGGUCUGACAGGGUAGUCACCCUCAUCUGUUAUCUUCCCAGAUCCUUCUGAAAAUUUUUUUAAAAAGAUUUAUUUAUUUUAUGUAUGUGAACACUUCAGCUGUGUGUAGCAGACACACCAGAAGAGGGCAUCAGAUCUUAUUACAGAUGGCUGUGAGCCACCUCGUGGUUGCUGGGAAUUGAACUUGGGACCUCUGGAAGAGCAGUUGGUGCCCCUAACUGCUGAGCCAUCUCUCCAGCCCCUCCUUCCGAAUUUAUGUCCGCACGUGGGCAUUCCGUUGGCAGAUGUGUUGCCUUGUGUGUUGCCUAGGUGACUGGUUCAUUCUGGGAUCCACCCUCAUCCUGGUUUUCCUCCAUGGACAGGAUGUCUUUAUGCCCAAAGUCCCUCUUCUGGUGAACUGGUCAAAGCUGGAUGGAUCUGAUAUGCAGAUCUGGAGUGACUACUACAUGCUAAAUGACUUGCCUUCCAAAGCCAAGACAUUUGUCAACUGCCAUGGACGCAGCAGGAGAGAGGGAAGGUCACCUCAACAGGAGUUGAGUGGUCCAGGAGGCAGUUCCCUGAGAAGCAAACCUUUAGGUAACCCCAGAACGGACGUGGUGAAUCCUUCUCCUCUACAUUAGCUUGUUCUUUCUCUUGCUCGGCUGUAACCUCCUGACCCCCCGAAGAUUGGAAAGAUGAUUUUUAGCACUCAUUUUCUUACUCCUGGACAGGGAUGGAAGACUCCGCCAUCACUCCACUGAUGUCCAGGACAGGCAUGGCUGCUGUAGGCCCAUGUAGGCCCAGAGCUGUCUCACGCCAGGAUGCAUGUGUGAGCCUAACAGUAAACCCAAGACCUCUCCAAACCAGCUGGGACCAGCAUGACCUGAGAUGACAGCUAAUUGCCUGGUAUGAUGACAUCUCCUAGUAUGGGCCUUGCAAAAUUCCCGUUACCUUCCAUCUGGCUCGAUGACAGCCCCCCCCCACCUCCAUAUAAAGACAGAAGAGUCAUGUAAACCCUAUUCCAGAAAUCCCCGCCCUGCUCACCGUGAUGUAACACAUGACACAAUCUUCCUCUCUAUCACAGGGUUAGGGGUAGAAGGUACUGGUGCUAAGAAGCAUGGUUCUAACCUUG